CCUGAUCCAGCCAUGCCGCGUGGGUGAAGAAGGCCUUCGGGUUGUAAAGCCCUUUUGUUGGGAAAGAAAUCCAGCCGGCUAAUACCUGGUUGGGAUGACGGUACCCAAAGAAUAAGCACCGGCUAACUUCGUGCCAGCAGCCGCGGUAAUACGAAGGGUGCAAGCGUUACUCGGAAUUACUGGGCGUAAAGCGUGCGUAGGUGGUUGUUUAAGUCUGUUGUGAAAGCCCUGGGCUCAACCUGGGAACUGCAGUGGAAACUGGACAACUAGAGUGUGGUAGAGGGUAGCGGAAUUCCCGGUGUAGCAGUGAAAUGCGUAGAGAUCGGGAGGAACAUCCAUGGCGAAGGCAGCUACCUGGACCAACACUGACACUGAGGCACGAAAGCGUGGGGAGCAAACAGGAUUAGAUACCCUGGUAGUCCACGCCCUAAACGAUGCGAACUGGAUGUUGGGUGCAAUUUGGCACGCAGUAUCGAAGCUAACGCGUUAAGUUCGCCGCCUGGGGAGUACGGUCGCAAGACUGAAACUC
rnacentral:rRNA from 1 species